GGACGGGGCCCGCACAAGCGGUGGAGCAUGUGGUUAAUUCGACGCAACGCGAAGAACCUUACCAGGGCUUGACAUCCCCUGACCGCGUAUGAAAGUACGUUUUCACCCUCGGGUGACAGGGAGACAGGUGGUGCAUGGUUGUCGUCAGCUCGUGUCGUGAGAUGUUGGGUUAAGUCCCGCAACGAGCGCAACCCCUACGUUUAGUUGCUAACGCGUGAAGGCGAGCACUCUAGACGAACUGCCGUUGACAAAACGGAGGAAGGUGGGGAUGACGUCAAAUCAUCAUGCCCCUUAUGUUCUGGGCUACACACGUGCUACAAUGGCCGGUACAGACGGACGCAAAGCCGCGAGGUGGAGCAAAUCCUAAAAAGCCGGUCUCAGUUCGGAUUGCAGGCUGCAAUUCGCCUGCAUGAAGUCGGAAUCGCUAGUAAUCGCAGGUCAGCAUACUGCGGUGAAUACGUUCCCGGGCCUU
rnacentral:rRNA from 1 species